rnacentral:lncRNA from 1 species
ACUUGAAAACAGGAGAGAAAAUAUUGGAGGUUGCCAAAUUUUGUUCAUUUCGAGAUCCUCCGAUGCAUAAAUUAAAUAAAAAUUUUAGAAAACAAUAAAGAUUUGAGAAAGAGUUCUAAGAGUGGGACUUAAUUGCAUGGGAUGCUUAUUCAUAGGCCAAGCAGUAAUAGCCACCUAUUGAGCAAGCUUUAACUGCCUUUAUAGUGCCUUUAGUGGAAGCCACAUGGUGGGCUUCCAUUAGUUGUCUAAGUAGGGAUGCAAGGAGUAUCAAUAUAUUUUCUAAUGGUUUAUUCAACUGUGUUUGUGGG